rnacentral:rRNA from 1 species
GACGUAGGGCGCGAGCGUUGUCCGGAUUUAUUGGGCGUAAAGAGCUCGUAGGCGGCUCAUCGCGUCUGCCGUGAAAACCUGUGGCUCAACUACAGGCUUGCGGUUGAUACGGGUGGGCUGGAGUUCGGUAGGGGAGACUGGAAUUCCUGGUGUAGCGGUGAAAUGCGUAGAUAUCAGGAGGAAUACCUAUGGCGAAAGCAGGUAUCUGGGCCACAACUGACGCUGAGCUGCGAAAGCUAGGGGAGCAAACAGG